CUUAAAAUAAUCGGACUUUCAUUUUGCUCAUGUUAAGACGAGAUUCUCCUCCUGUUCCUAACAUGACCAUGGGGGUACUUAAGGGCCAUUAUACGGGCCUCUCCUCCGAUUCGAUCUUAAAAUAAUCGGACUCUCAUUUUGCUCAUGUUAGGACGAGAUUCUCCUUCUGUUCCUAACAUGACCAUGGGGGCACUUAAGGGCCAUUAUACGGGCCUCUCUCCCG
rnacentral:lncRNA from 1 species